rnacentral:rRNA from 1 species
CCUACGGGUGGCAGCAGUGGGGAAUAUUGCACAAUGGGGGAAACCCUGAUGCAGCGACGCCGCGUGAAGGAAGAAGGCUUUCGGGUUGUAAACUUCUUUUAAGGGGGAAGAGCAGAAGACGGUACCCCUUGAAUAAGCCACGGCUAACUACGUGCCAGCAGCCGCGGGAAUACGUAGGUGGCAAGCGUUGUCCGGAGUUACUGGGUGGAAAGGGCGUGCAGCCGGGGAGACAAGUCAGAUGUGUAAUCCGCAGGCUCAACCUGCGAACGGCAUUUGAAACUGUUUCCCUUGAGUAUCGGUGAGGUAAGCGGAAGUCAUGGUGGAGCGGUGAAAUGCGUAGAUAUAAGGAAGAACACCAGUGGCGAAGGCGGAUUACUGGACGACAACUGACGGGGAGGCGCGAAAGCGUGGGGAGCAAACAGGAUUAGAUACCCCAGUAGUC